rnacentral:rRNA from 1 species
GACGAAAGCGUGGGGAGCGAAAAGGAUUAGAUACCCUUGUAGUCCACGCCCUAAACGAUGAUGACUAGGUGUCGGCGUAAGCCGGUGCUAUAAGCUAACGCGUUAAGUCAUCCACCUGAGGAGUACGGCCGCAAGGUUAAAACUCAAAUGAAUAGACGGGGACCCACACAAGCAGUGGAUCAUGUGGUUUAAUUCGACAAUAAACGAGGGACCUUACCCAGGCUUGACAUCCCGAGAAGUCCGAUGAAAGUUGGAUGUGCCCGCAAGGGAACUUGGUGACAGGCGCUGCAUGGUUGUCGUCAGCUCGUGCCUUGAGGUGUUCGGUUAAGUCCGUUAACGAGCGCAACCCAUGUCGUUAGUUAUUAUGUCUAACGAGACUGCCUGAGUUAAUCAGGAGGAAGGUGUGGAUGACGUCAAAUCAGCAUGGCCCUUAUGCCUGGGGCCACACACAUGAUACAAUGGUCGGUACAAAGAGUCGCAAUACAGUAAUGUGGAGCCAAUCUAUAAAGCCGAUCUCAGUCCGGAUUGGGGGCUGCAACUCGCCCUCAUGAAGUUGGAAUUGCUAGUAAUCGUGAAUCAGACAUGUCACGGUGAAUCUGUUCCUGGGUCUUGUACUCACCGCCCGUCAAACCAUGGGAGGUGCUUUUACUGGAAGCCCCCGAAGUAAUAUUGGGGUCCAUGGUAGAAGUGCUGACUGGGGUUAAGUCGUAACAAGGUAUCCGUACGAGAACGUGCGGAUG